UGUCUCUGACUGGGCAGAGUUGCACCUGGUUUGGUGGUGCUUGUCUCAUAUCAGGCAGGGACAAAAGAACUCCUGUUUAUCCUAGCUUGGCUUUUGGUCUACGCCUGUGCCUGGUUCAUGUCCUGACACAUAG